rnacentral:lncRNA from 1 species
GGACAGCACGUCGGAGCCACGACCGAGCCAACGCUGCACAGCACGCAUCCCAACCCAGGAGACAGCACAGCAGCAGCAGCAGCGAGGCCAGCACAGCUCGCUGAAGAGGAGCUUCCACCCUCGCAGCAGGGACACGGCCUCCCAGCGCUGCUUCUGGACCCUGGGUGCAGAUUUCACCCUGGCACUUGCCCCCAGCCACGCGCUUUCGGGGGAGCGCAGCUCAGGAGGGAUUUGCUGGCCGAAGCCCACCUGGUGCCGCACGGAGGAGCCCAGGACACGGCGCGGCAGCUCUGCGGGCACCCCCUCGCCUCAGCCGAGCAAGGGGCAGCAGCAGGGCGUUGUCACAGCCCUCGGAGGGCUCAGCGCAGCCUCCCGCUGAGACGAGAUGCGCCACGAACCCCAGGCAGGAGGUCCCCGCUGGGACCCGGAGCAAGUGCCACCAGCAGCGCCCCAGCCACGGGGGCCGCACCGUUCAUCGGGCUACAGACGCGGCAAGGAGUCCCUCGGGUGCCCGCUGGACGUCCCUGCUCGCCCCCCGAGGCUGCCCGCAGGAGGCUGAGCGAGGCCCCGAACACGGUCACCAUCGCGGGGAGGAUGCUACAACGGUAUAUACACAACGGAGCGGCUUCAGCUACGUCCCGAGCACAAGUCUUGGAUUUGACAGCCCUCGGCACCUUCCCCUGCAGGGGCAGGGCCGGUGGGGGUUCUCCACAGCAGGGUGCAUCCGAGCGAGGUCCGAGCGAGUGCGGGGCGGAGGAGAGGCCGCGGGGAAGCUCGGCCCGGCAGCGGGGCCAUGAGGAGUCUCUGGGGGGGCGGGCAGAGCGCCCAGUGCACCCCGGGGCGCGGGAAGCCAGCGAGCCUCCCUGUUCCAGCUCCACCGUAAGGCAACUUUUUUUUUGUUUUGUUUUUUUUUGUUGUUGUUUUCUUUUUUCUUUUUUGUAUUUUUUUGUGUUUUUUUUUUGUUUUUUUCUUCAAUUAAUAUUUCCAAGGAAGAAAGCAAAGGGAGAUGUGUCUUUUCAAAGUUUUUUUUUGUUUUAG